CCAGUGCGUGCGGAAGGCCCUGUCUUGAGACGUGCCAGGUAACGUGUUGGUGAAGUUGUCAGGUGACCUUCUGACCUUCCUGGAACUCAGGAACACGGUCUGGAAAAAUAAGCAGCAAUGUCUAAGAGUCUGUUUGGAGCUUCCUAGAAGUUGAGGGCAAUCGGAAGAUCAAGAGUCAUGUUUGAGUCUAUCUUCCAGAUGACUAGAACACAUCUGUGCAGGUAAAACUGUAAUAGCAACUGAGGGAGAGACCUGGUCAGAGUGCAGAGUGUGAGACCCAUAUUGGUCUUAGACUCCUGAAGGAACCUGGGCCUUUAAACAUGUCCUGCCAUCUGUACGAGUUGUCUGCCCCAGAGGAAACCUCCCAGCACCCACCUCACAUGCCAGCAGUUGUAGAGAAAUAAACACAAGGACUGGAAGUUGAACUGAGUGUCUUCUACCCGCCAGAUCAAAAUGAAGAGUCAGAUGUAAUCCAUGGUCCAUCUUCCAGGUAAUUUUAUUUUAAUUCAUUGGACAUUGCUACUUAAGUAUGGCAAAAAGACCUGAUCACUCAUUUCUAAUGUUUUAGGAAGGGUAGGAAGUAGAAGAGGCAAUCAGGCCAUUAUUUGUGAAAUCAUGCAAUUAAAUGGGUAAAAUGUACAAAUAAAGAUAAUAUCCAUGGUUUCUGGGUACCUGCCAUCAAUGACAUUAUUUGGAAGAAAGACAUCACAAGCAUCGAUAGCAACAUUCAGCCCCUCACUGAUUGAAGCACACUACCUUAUCUGCUGUUUUGAUAAGAGAGGCUUUUCUUUGAGAUAUGAUUUAAUGAGAUUUGGAGACUUCCCAAAGACUUAGCCAGCUGACUCUCCUGAUACAACAUCAAUAUCUAAUCUCCUUUAUAAUUUAAGAUUCUUCAACCAAGACUAGUAGCACUAUCUGUGGCCCAUGUGACACUAAACCCUGAGAUCAUGCAUCACUUGAAACACAAUAAAUAUACCUUUCAAAGAUUAAUAGGCUCUCAGUGAAUAGGUAAUCAGGACUGUUUUAGCCAAGCAUAAAUCUAGCUUUAAACACAAUGGUGUCUAAUUUAUGCAUCAACUUGAUUAGGCUAUAGCAUUUAACAUCAGUUUAGAGGCAGCUAUGAAGGUGUUUUGAUAUGACUAACACACACAUUCAGCUUUAAGUAAAGAAGAUUACCUUUCAUAAUGUGUGGGUCUCAUCCAAUUAUUGAGGGUCUUAAGAUUGAGAAAUGAGGAAAAAUUUUGCCUCAAGACUUUUAGAAUUCUGCCUGAAUUUCAGGUCCACAUAUUUGUGUG